UACAGAGGUCUCAAGCGUUGUUCGGAAUUACUGGGCGUAAAGGGCGCGUAGGCGGUUCGAUAAGUCCCGUGUGAAAUCCCUCGGCUCAACUGAGGAACUGCACGGGAAACUGACGGGCUUGAGUUCGGGAGAGGGAAGCGGAAUUCCGGGUGUAGCGGUGAAAUGCGUAGAUAUCCGGAGGAACACCGGUGGCGAAGGCGGCUUCCUGGACCGACACUGACGCUGAGGCGCGAAAGCUAGGGGAGCAAACGGG
rnacentral:rRNA from 1 species